rnacentral:lncRNA from 1 species
AAUCACAUAAUCUCAUCAUGUGGGGAAUGCCUUGGUAACAGAAGAUGGUGCUUUCAUUCAAGCAAUAGCAACUUUCCAAUUUCAUAAGGUAGUUUAAUGGCCCUUUUAAGAACAUCUGUACCAGCCUAACAAUUAUUCAUGGAAAUUAAAAUUCAGAAUCAUAUUAGAUUGAGAGAUGAAAUAUAAUAAGCGAUUUGGCCACCAUAUAUGCAUUUAUCACCUUCAAUUUGCUCAUCUUUGUCUAGAGUAUUGCUUCUGCAUUAACUUAAUUAGCUUGCAAGCCACCUACAAAUGGUUUUAAAUAAUGUGUGAGAGUGUGAAUUCGAACGAAUUAAUCAAAUAUGCUGACAGGAGAAACAAAAGUAAAUAACCACAAGAAGUAGAAAUAUACUUUUGUUAUAUUCAGAGCAUCUUCUUGCGUCAAGUUCUUUUCCUUUAGCUCUGUUUCUGUUUGUGCUCAAACGCAAUGGCUCAAGGGUCAAGAUAAUUUUAUGACCAUCAAUCUUUUUGCAGCCACAUGCAGACUUGAAAAACAGGUCGUGGCC